GCCAGUUUCCUUUUUGAUGUUCCUAGUGUAUUUUAAAGCCAUUAGACAGAAGACUGUCUAGGAGACAGAAGACGGAGCCAGGAGACAGAAGUCUGUGAUACUUGCAAGUUGGGAAAUGGAUAACCAACUAGCACAUGAUGAUGAAAAGAGGAUGCCGUGUCCUUUGCCUUCUGUCAAUGGUGGAGGAUGUGUGAAAAGAAGUGCUAACAUGUGGCCACCGGAAAACUUCCGGAGAAACUUCCGGGGAAAGAUGGCCUGCCAUGUUUGAUGGAAAGACCUUCAAAUGAUAGCACUGGGAACCAUCCCAUAAACCUUGAGAAAUCUAUCUGUCUGAUUGUUACUACUGGUUUCCGAGCAUCCCACAUGGACCACAAGGCAGUUCUGAAGGACCUCUGCUGAGAUUCAAAGAACUCCAAGGCCCAAGGGGAUGAUGGAGCCACAGGACAGAAGAUCGGGAUGACUGUUUUUAUGGUACAGAUGAAGACAACACCCUUAGGGAAUGGCAAACUAACAAGAUAGGGGAACCUGGAUCCAAAAAUGUCUUUACAAAAUAUAGCGGCCCUGCCAGCUUGCACUUCUAAGCUCCAUACU